GAUGAACGCUAGCGGCAGGCCUAAUACAUGCAAGUCGAACGGUGUAGCAAUACACAGUGGCGCACGGGUGCGUAACACGUAUGCAACCUACCUUACAUUGGGGGAUAGCCUUUCGAAAGGGAGAUUAAUACCGCAUAAGACAGUAACUGGGCAUCCAGUAGCUGUUAAAGAUUUAUCGAUGUAAGCUGGGCAUGCGUCCAAUUAGUUAGUUGGCGAGGUAAUGGCUCACCAAGACGAUGAUUGGUAGGGGAACUGAGAGGUCAAUCCCCCACACUGGCACUGAGAUACGGGCCAGACGCCUACGGGAGGCAGCAGCAGGGAAUAUUGGGCAAUGGGCGCAAGCCUGACCCAGCCAUGCCGCGUGCAGGAAGAAGGCGUUAUGCGUUGUAAACUGCUUUUAUACAGGAAGAAACGACCCUUGCGAGGGGCAUUGACGGUACUGUAUGAAUAAGCACCGGCUAACUCCGUGCCAGCCGCCGCCGUAAUAC
rnacentral:rRNA from 1 species